rnacentral:snRNA from 1 species
GGGUCCUGGGCAGCCUGGUGGCUACAUCUGGCCCAGUGAUCUUCAAGGGCCACUGUGAUUUGGCUGGCAAAGGGGUGUCGUCUUUCUCCCUCCAUGUGUGCCCCUCCUGAAGCUGCACGUGCUACAGAGUAGCGCUGCAUAGACACGGACCAUUUCUCAUUCAAGAUACGGACCAUAGAGAGAAGAAUCACUCUUCAGUCAAGGAUACAUGGGUAUCCACGCUCCCAAAAGAACCUCCAAACAACCUCUCAGAGUAAAAAUAUGAACAAAUCCCUCCACAAGACACGAACCAAAACAACCUGCCUCUCAGU